GACGAACGCUGGCGACGCGCUUAACACAUGCAAGUCGAACGGAAAGGCCUGCUUUCCCUUGUGGAUUGCGGGUACUCGAGUGGCGAACGGGUGAGUAACACGUGAGUGAUCUGCCCCCAACUUGGGUAUAAGCCUGGGAAACUGGGUCUAAUUCCCGAUAGGACUGCAGGGUGGUGCCUGUGGUGGAAAACGAUUUUCUAGUGGUUGGGGAUGAGCUCGCGGCCUAUCAGCUUGUUGGUGGGGUAAUGGCCUACCAAGGCGGCGACGGGUAGCCGGCCUGAGAGGGUGGACGGCCACAUUGGGACUGAGAUACGGCCCAGACUCCUACGGGAGGCAGCAGUGGGGAAUAUUGCACAAUGGGCGGAAGCCUGAUGCAGCGACGCCGCGUGGGGGAUGACGGCCUUCGGGUUGUAAACUCCUUUCGACCGCGAGGAAGCCACCUGGUUGGAAGGGUGGUGACGGUAGUGGUAGAAGAAGUACCGGCUAACUACGUG
rnacentral:rRNA from 1 species